rnacentral:rRNA from 1 species
GUGAGGAAUAUUGCGCAAUGGAGGCAACUCUGACGCAGCCAUGCCGCGUGCAGGAAGACGGCCCUACGGGUUGUAAACUGCUUUUAUCCGGGAAGAAACCCCUCGACGUGUCGAGGGUUGACGGUACCGGAGGAAUAAGCACCGGCUAACUUCGUGCCAGCAGCCGCGGUAAUACGAAGGGUGCAAGCGUUAUCCGGAUUCAUUGGGUUUAAAGGGUGCGUAGGCGGGGCGGUAAGUCAGUGGUGAAAUCCUGCAGCUUAACUGUAGCAUUGCCAUUGAUACUGCCGCUCUUGAGUACGCUUGACGUGGGCGGAAUGUGCCGUGUAGCGGUGAAAUGCUUAGAUAUGGCACAGAACACCGAUUGCGAAGGCAGCUCACGAAGGCGAAACUGACGCUGAGGCACGAAAGCGUGGGGAUCGAACAGGAUUAGAUACCCGAGUAGUCC